rnacentral:lncRNA from 1 species
GUCUCCCUGUCCUCCCCCUCCUUUUCUCUCUCUCUCUCUGCUUCUCUGUGCCAAUCGAGAGUGUGAGACUUGGAGGUCUUGUUGCUAGGAAACAGCUAGUUGUUGAGUAGCAGGUCUCGGGGCUGCAGUGCAUGCAGGGACUGUGGGGGUGUGAGCGAGAGAGUUUCCGGUGUGCAGGCUUGCUGUGAGCGUCGCUCUGUCACCACAGAGCCGCCGGGUCACUAGGGAAACUGCAGAUGUGGAGUUGUCAGUUCUUUGGUUUUCUUCGCCCCUCUGAAAACGUCAUGAAAGGUACAUCCGCACUGUCAGAAGCUAUACAGGGAGAUCUAUGUACAGGGAGACCAGCAGCAGGAACGGGACUGGGGCUUUUGCUGGAAUGGAAUGGCUGCCUGUUAAUCCGAGACCCAGGUCAUCCUGAACACUGCUCAGCGCAUUUAAAACACAGCCUGGGGUUUCGCUUGAGAAAGCUCACUCUUGAUUGUUUCGUUAGUUAGGUGCUGGCCUGGUACCGCGCACUCUGUGGAGUCUCCCUCCCCCCCCAGGCCUCGCCCUGCACAGGGGUCCCCAGCUGGCUCGAACCCCAGGCCCUGGAGCAGGCCACAGGCAGGGACUCGCUGGGCUUCUGGGCACGCCGAAGACUGAAUGAGGAGACUCAAAUUGCUUUUUUAAAAUCCAUAUUCUGACAUUAAAGUGACAUAGCAGGAAGUUUCCUGUGCCAGUAUGCAGCACCCUGAGCCUGGCACCCUGACACUGACACUCCUCUGACACCCUGAGCCUG